AAAUCUAGAUCCAAAAUAAAAGGCAACAGCAAGCAACCAGGCAUCACUGUGAACAGCAACCAGAGAUAACCAAUCCUUCUCUUGCAUCCCGUCUCUAGCAAAAUUGAUCCCUAGAGCAGGCUCAGGGAGUUCUGGAGGUACUUCUUCAGCAGGCAAAUUGACCUCCCACUGCUCACUAGGAAGUCCAUACAAGCACAAAUUCUCCUUCUCUAUAAAGCACAAGCAGCACACGUACUUAAAAAUAAUAAUAGCAUGGGUGGAAAAAAAGAAAAGAUGACAGUUUGCAAAACAUAACAUAGUUUACAAGUGGAAAGGACUACGACAACAUAACUCACCAGCACUUGUGUGACAGAUAGAGGAACAAAUGAAUUUACAAUAAAAUCACCAUGCAAGUAUACUUUGGCAAAUGUGAAUACCAUAAUGCUAAACAUGGAUGUUGCAACAUCAUAACAGAUAUUAGUUGAAUGCAAAGCAAUGGGAAAAUAUCUUAUAGGGAUCUUAUAAUGUGAAUGGCACAACAAAAAAUGGAUAAUGACUAAACUGAGACUGGAUAUCAAGUUUACCAAUUUUCUAAAAUAUAAAUUUUCCAUUAGAUACUUAUUUGCUUGGAGAUGGUUUACUUUUAACCUUCAAGCCUUUGUUAAUAAUUUUUCACCAGAAGAAUACAUUGUAUUCUGCAGUGGCUUGGGAAAGAUUAAAGGGAAGAAAUACUAGAAACCUUAAAAAUGGAAAUAUAUCCAUAAAGAGAAAUCAUUAUCUUGAAUCCUUGAUAAAAAAAAAAAAAUUUUUAAAAAAAUAAAUUGCUACGAAUUAAUCUAAAAAACCUUAAAAUAAUGUUUCAGGUAGAGAAAUGCAUAUCUCAGAAACCAGACCCCAUAGAAUAUGAAUGAAGAAGACGUAACAUGGGGCUCUACUUGCGAAAUCUAGAAUGAAAUAAUACUAUACUCCGAAGAACGAACCCCCUGAUAAUGAACACGAAAUCACAGGUUAAUGCUAAAGAUAAAUAGACAAUUAAAAACGAGAGCGGCCUGAUCAACAACAGCAGUUAGCAGAGUUUGAGGACCAUAUUCUACAUCAGGGUCGAGCUCUCUUGUUGGUGCAAGAAGGACACUUGUAAUGCUUGAUAUGCUCAGCCCUAGCAGGGGUAAUCUUCACACACUUGCCAUGGAACCACUUCUCACAAAUGUCACAGCAGAUCCAAAAUUCAUCUGAUGCAUAGUUUUCUCCACAGGAGCCACAGAGUGUUUCCCCAUGUUCUUCAUCUUCUUCCUCAUCAAACACUUCUUCUUCUUCAUCCUUCGGCUGUGACUUUGGAUAUUUUUCCGGAGAUUCCAAUCCCUGCUGCUUGUCAUAAAAUAAUGCCAAGUGACUAUAUCAACAAGAAGAAGGGGAGGGGGGACGGAUGUUUAUAACAUACGUAUAUAAAGCAUGUUUAGCUAAGCCUUUCCUAUAACUUUUUGACAAAAGGGCAAUUAUCCUGGCCAGCUUCUCAUUAAAAUCCACUUACAUUUUACGAUUAGAUAUACCAAGGUCUGUUAUAUAAAAGGUGAAAAACACCAUUUCCUGGGGACUGAUGUAUUGCACAUGAAACACACUUACCGGCUUAGAGUUUGACUUUGAUUUGUUGCUACUGUGGUUGGAGACCGAAGACUUCUCUUUCUGUUGUUUCUUUGCAGCACCAGUCACAACUUCAAAUACUGUAGGGAGUUCAUUGAUCAUGUUGAAAAGCCGUUUCCUGGGAAACAAAAUUUCAAAUUUGAUUCAUAAUUGGAAAAUGAGAAAAAAGAACAAUGAUCUUUGACUAAAAUUCAAUUGUAAUAAGGAAGAUGCUUAAACAGUAUGUCAAAGGGCUAAAAUCAUUUGCAUCAACUGUGUAUGCUUUGAUGACUCUGUCUAAUGCCCAGAGAAAUUAUUCAUCCCCUCAACCCUUUUUCAAAACUAAAAUUAUAUAAACCUUAUGAUUUCCAUCCACACAACUAUCUUUCAUACAACACUUGGAAACAUUUUGAACUUGAGGAGCCAACGCAUAACGCACAAACAGAAUCUAGCUGUGUUUAGAAGUUCAAACCAUGAACAUGUUUGGCUGAGCAUAAAACAAGGUACAGUUUUACGAAACAUGUUUAGAUAACUUACUUAAAUAGAAAAAAGUUACUUUUUUUUUUUUUUUUUAAAAGUAGCUUUACUUUGAUCUCAAAAUAAGUAACUUGCUUAUUUACAAGUCUCAUCAAUAACAAAAAUAUUUAUUUUAAAGGUUAAUUAUGUAUAACUUUUUAAACUAAGCCAAAUAUUUUCGAAAUAAAGACGGCAUUUAAUAUAUACCUGUCAGCUUUAUCGUAACCAAAUCUAGAUCCAAAAUAAAAGGCAACAGCAAGCAACCAGGCAUCACUGUGAACAGCAACCAGAGAUAACCAAUCCUUCUCUUGCAUCCCGUCUCUAGCAAAAUUGAUCCCUAGAGCAGGCUCAGGGAGUUCUGGAGGUACUUCUUCAGCAGGCAAAUUGACCUCCCACUGCUCACUAGGAAGUCCAUACAAGCACAAAUUCUCCUUCUCUAUAAAGCACAAGCAGCACACGUACUUAAAAAUAAUAAUAGCAUGGGUGGAAAAAAAGAAAAGAUGACAGUUUGCAAAACAUAACAUAGUUUACAAGUGGAAAGGACUACGACAACAUAACUCACCAGCACUUGUG
rnacentral:lncRNA from 1 species